rnacentral:rRNA from 1 species
AACAUGGAGAGUUUGAUCCUGGCUCAGGAUGAACGCUGGCGGUCUGCUUAACACAUGCAAGUCGAACGGAGUACUUCGGUACUUAGUGGCGGACGGGUGAGUAACGCGUGAGAAUCUGCCCUUAGGACGGGGACAACAGCUGGAAACGGCUGCUAAUACCCGAUGUGCCGAGAGGUGAAACAUUUAUGGCCUGAGGAUGAGCUCGCGUCUGAUUAGCUAGUUGGUGGGGUAAGAGCCUACCAAGGCGACGAUCAGUAGCUGGUCUGAGAGGAUGAUCAGCCACACUGGGACUGAGACACGGCCCAGACUCCUACGGGAGGCAGCAGUGGGGAAUUUUCCGCAAUGGGCGAAAGCCUGACGGAGCAAGACCGCGUGAGGGAAGACGGCCUACUGGUUGUAAACCUCUUUUGAUAGGGAAGAACACAAUGACGGUACCUAUCGAAUCAGCCUCGGCUAACUCCGUGCCAGCAGCCGCGGUAAUACGGAGGAGGCAAGCGUUAUCCGGAAUUAUUGGGCGUAAAGCGUCCGUAGGUGGUGAUUCAAGUCUAUUGUCAAAGCAUGAGGCUUAACCUCAUACCGGCAGUGGAAACUGCAUGGCUAGAGUGCGAUAGGGGCAAGGGGAAUUCCCAGUGUAGCGGUGAAAUGCGUAGAUAUUGGGAAGAACAUCGGUGGCGAAAGCGCCUUGCUGGGUCUGCACUGACACUGAGGGACGAAAGCUAGGGGAGCGAAAGGGAUUAGAUACCCCU